GACGAACGCUGGCGGCGUGCUUAACACAUGCAAGUCGAACGGAAAGGCCCUGCUUUUGUGGGGUGCUCGAGUGGCGAACGGGUGAGUAACACGUGAGUAACCUGCCCUUGACUUUGGGAUAACUUCAGGAAACUGGGGCUAAUACCGGAUAGGAGCUCCUGCUGCAUGGUGGGGGUUGGAAAGUUUCGGCGGUUGGGGAUGGACUCGCGGCUUAUCAGCUUGUUGGUGGGGUAGUGGCUUACCAAGGCUUUGACGGGUAGCCGGCCUGAGAGGGUGACCGGCCACAUUAGGACUGAGAUACGGCCCAGACUCCUACGGGAGGCAGCAGUGGGGAAUAUUGCACAAUGGGCGGAAGCCUGAUGCAGCAACGCCGCGUGCGGGAUGACGGCCUUCGGGUUGUAAACCGCUUUCGCCUGUGACGAAGCGUGAGUGACGGUAAUGGGUAAAGAAGCACCGGCUAACUACGUGCCAGCAGCCGCGGUGAUACGUAGGGUGCGAGCGUUGUCCGGAUUUAUUGGGCGUAAAGGGCUCGUAGGUGGUUGAUCGCGUCGGAAGUGUAAUCUUGGGGCUUAACCCUGAGCGUGCUUUCGAUACGGGUUGACUUGAGGAAGGUAGGGGAGAAUGGAAUUCCUGGUGGAGCGGUGGAAUGCGCAGAUAUCAGGAGGAACACCAGUGGCGAAGGCGGUUCUCUGGGCCUUUCCUGGCGCUGAGGAGCGAAAGCGUGGGGAGCGAACAGGCUUAGAUACCCUGGUAGUCCACGCUGUAAACGGUGGGUACUAGGUGUGGGGUCCAUUCCACGGGUUCCGUGCCGUAGCUAACGCUUUAAGUACCCCGCCUGGGGUGUACGGCCGCAAGGCUAAAACUCAAAGGAAUUGACGGGGCCCCGCACAAGCGGCGGAGCAUGCGGAUUAAUUCGAUGCAACGCGUAGAACCUUACCUGGGUUUGACAUGGAUCGGGAGUGCUCAGAGAUGGGUGUGCCUCUUUUGGGGUCGGUUCACAGGUGGUGCAUGCCUGUCGUCAGCUCGUGUCGUGAGAUGUUGGGUUAAGUCCCGCAACGAGCGCAACCCUUGUUCACUGUUGCCAGCACGUUAUGGUGGGGACUCAGUGGAGACCGCCGGGGUCAACUCGGAGGAAGGUGGGGAUGACGUCAAGUCAUCAUGCCCCUUAUGUCCAGGGCUUCACGCAUGCUACAAUGGCUGGUACAGAGAGUGGCGAGCCUGUGAGGGUGAGCGAAUCUCGGAAAGCCGGUCUCAGUUCGGAUUGGGGUCUGCAACUCGACCUCAUGAAGUCGGAGUCGCUAGUAAUCGCAGAUCAGCAACGCUGCGGUGAAUACGUUCCCGGG
rnacentral:rRNA from 1 species